rnacentral:lncRNA from 1 species
GACAACUGGAUUUCCUUGAAGUACUUGCAGAAGCCGGCAUAGGAGUUGUAUAUUCAGGUUCGACACUUAUCUUGACUGGUUCUUCUUCUGGCUCAAACCUUGGUUCAGGAAUGUUCGGUUCCUCAUCAAAUUCUUCCUCUUUAGUGUCUGUGACUGAAUUAGCUUCAGUUUCAGUUCCAUCUGUUAACUCCUUUGUAUCCGGCUCAGUUGGCUCUUCUUACUC